rnacentral:lncRNA from 1 species
CUGUGACGGUGUUCACCAGGCCCUCGAAAACUGACUCUCUUAACCCCCCCCCCUCCAACUCCUCUUCGGGAACCCCAGUUGUUGUUGUUUUUUCCCCGCGCGCCACGCACCGUCUCUCUCCCUUCCUCCCCGCCGUAGGGCGGUGGCGGUUGAACCACCCCUUGAGGUGUAUGAACAACGCCGCCGCCGGAGGCCGCUGUUCGGGCGGGGGGGCGCUUCCCCUCCAGCCUCAGCCCCCGUGGGGCGGCCCAGGCUUGCAGCACGGAGCUGCUUCUCUCAGUUUCGCUCCGAUUUUUCGACGCCCCGCUUCUCUCCCUACUGCUGCCCAGCAGGGAACGGAGGGAGAGGCGUGUGCCGGGCGUUGCGGCGGCGGCUCCUUCUCGGCAUGUCAGCGGCUGUCCCGCCGCCACCAUCUCGGGGUGAGGAGAAGAGGAACGGUGGUGGGGCCUGGUUCCUGGAAGAGAACCAUCGGGAACCGUUCCUGCUUCCUUCCGGCCAAGUAACUGAAGCUUCCCGGGAAAGUGGCUCCGCCGAGGGUUUGCAGUUGCAACGACAGCAAGAGGACGACGAGGACAACGACAAGUGGCCACGGGGGAGGCCGCAGCAGUGUCAGGUGGUCGAGGCACCGCCGCCUAAAGAGAAUCCUUGGACGCGUUGGAAGCCUCCCCCCAACUGCGGUAGUAGUUUAUCUCCUUCCAACGCUUCUUCGGGCGGCGAGUUCACUUCGCAGGAUCCGGAACUGCAGUGUUCUACUAAAGUCAUAAAAGCAGGAAAGUUGAAGAUAAAGAAACCCAGUAAGGCAGAUUAUUUCAAUGAUGCAACAAACUGGCCAACACCAAGUGAAAUUGCAAGUUCUGAGGUAAGUUCAUGGGGGGGGGGGGGAAUGCACCACAGGUUUAGUUUUCUGUGUCAUUAUAGAA